ACCGGAAGCUGCUGAUUUCACACUGUCAAGAAAAGCCGCUAGCGAGACUGUAGGUGCCCGUACCGCAAACCGACACAGGUAGAUGAGGAGAGAAUCCUAAGGUGAGCGAGAGAACUAUUGUUAAGGAACUCGGCAAAAUGACCCCGUAACUUCGGGAGAAGGGGUGCCAUCGAAAGAUGGCCGCAGUGAAAAGGCCCAGGCGACUGUUUACCAAAAACACAGGUCUCUGCUAAAGCGAAAGCUGAAGUAUAGGGGCUGACGCCUGCCCGGUGCUGGAAGGUUAAGGGGACUGCUUAGAGCGAUCGAAGGCAUGAACUUAAGCCCCAGUAAACGGCGGCCGUAACAAUAACGGUCCUAAGGUAGCGAAAUUCCUUGUCAGGUAAGUUCUGACCCGCACGAAAGGCGUAACGAUCUGGGCACUGUCUCAACAAUAGACUCGGUGAAAUUGUAGUACCGGUAAAGAUGCCGGUUACCCGCAGCAGGACGGAAAGACCCCAUGGAGCUUUACUGCAGCUUGAUAUUGGAAUUCGGCAUUGCAUGUACAGGAUAGGUGGGAGACUGAGAGAAGAGUACGCCAGUAUUCUUGGAGUCACCGUUGGGAUACCACCCUUGUAAUGUUGAGUUUCUAACGACGUGCCGUGAACCGGCACUCGGACAGUGUCUGGCGGGCAGUUUGACUGGGGCGGUCGCCUCCUAAAGAGUAACGGAGGCGCCCAAAGGUUCCCUCAGUGCGGACGGAAAUCGCACGAAGAGUGUAAAGGCAGAAGGGAGCUUGACUGCGAGACAAACAGGUCGAGCAGGGACGAAAGUCGGGCUUAGUGAUCCGGUGGUACCGAGUAGAAGGGCCAUCGCUCAACGGAUAAAAGCUACCCUGGGGAUAACAGGCUGAUACCCCCCAAGAGUCCACAUCGACGGGGGUGUUUGGCACCUCGAUGUCGGCUCGUCUCAUCCUGGGGCUGAAGUAGGUCCCAAGGGUUGGGCUGUUCGCCCAUUAAAGAGGUACGCGAGCUGGGUUCAGAACGUCGUGAGACAGUUCGGUCCCUAUCCGCUGUGGGCGUUUGAGAUUUGAGUGGAGCUGUUCUUAGUACGAGAGGACCGGGAUGGAUGUAGCUCUGGUGCACCAGUUGUACUGCCAAGUGCAUAGCUGGGUAGCCACCUACGGACGGGAUAAGCGCUGAAAGCAUCUAAGUGCGAAGCCCCCCACAAGAAAAGAUCUCCUCCAGAAAUGGUAAGACCCGUGAGAGACUAUCACGUAGAUAGGCCUCAGGUGUAAGUGCAGUAAUGUAUUAAGCUGAGAGGUACUAAUAGGUCGAACACUUGACU
rnacentral:rRNA from 1 species